GACGAACGCUGGCGGCGUGCUUAAUACAUGCAAGUCGAGCGGUGAACCUGAAGAAGGCUUCGGCCUGAUUUGGGGGAACAGCGGCGGAUGGGUGAGUAACGCGUGGGUACCUGCCCUAAAGUCUGGGAUAACAACCCGAAAGGGUUGCUAAUACCGGAUGUGACCGAGAGGUUAAAGGUAGCGAUAUCGCUUUAGGAUGGGCCCGGUCCCAUUAGCUAGUUGGUAGGUAACGGCCUACCAAGGCAACGAUGGGUAGCCGGCCUGAGAGGGUGGACGGCCACACUGGGACUGAGACACGGCCCAGACUCCUACGGGAGGCAGCAGUAGGGAAUCUUCCGCAAUGGACGCAAGUCUGACGGAGCGACGCCGCGUGGGGGAAGAAGGGCCUUCGGGUUGGUAAACCUCUGUCCUCAGGGACGAAGAGGGUGUGGGAGACGCACCGAAGACGGUACCUGAGGAGGAAGCCCCGGCUAACUACGUGCCAGCAGCCGCGGUAAGGCUACGUAGA
rnacentral:rRNA from 1 species